AUUAUCUAACCCUAACCCUCGCUUCUCUCCCGCCGCCGCCCACACUACUCUCAUCCACCGCCCCUCACGACCCAUCUCCCUCACAAAGCGGCGCCGCUGCCUUUUUCAUCAGUCUCGCCGACCGCUGGCGCGCGUCCAGCUUGGUGACGAGAAGCCGUCAUGCGAGAAGUAGGCGAGGGAGGGCUCGGUAUGGCUUGUCACGACGCUGGAUCGGCUCGUCCCCGACCUCGAUGCCCGCGGAUCUUGGAGUCCCGGGCCUCAACGCCGCCGCCACUCGCCCGCUCCGCCGCAGUCCUCGCAAAGAUGGCCGUGUAGCUGCUGACGAUGAAGAUCGUGAAGAGAGGUCGAAGCACUUCCAAAAGGCGCACAGUGGCCGCUACAUAGGUCUCAAGGAGUGGUGAUCCUUAUUCAUUGGUACCGAUGAAUUAUGCUGCAAGUGUGGAAGUGAAUGAAAAGGACGUGGGUGAUGCAGUUCCAGCAAGAACAUGCUGGCAGACCUUGAGGAAGGGUUGACUAGGAUGGUGACAUGCUUUGGAUUUAUCUGGCUACUGGGGUUUAGAGCAGCUUACUCUAUGCCGUCUCCACCAUCUCCAUCAGCCACGAGGUGAUUUCUUUAUUGGAAGUUGGAAGAUGAAGACCGAAGCAUUGGUGUGAUCUGUCAACUAAAAUAUCUGUAGUUACAUGCAUCAUGUAUGUAUGAUUAUGCACCUUUGUUUCCACCUUCCGUUCAUUAUGGAAAACAGUUAUGCUGGGCAUCUAUUCUACCAUUGAUGUAAAGAUGUUUGUUUUUGAGCGGAGAUUCUGAUGUAAAGGAUAUGUAGUGCAAUA